GCCAGGUGCGGUGGCGCGAGCCUAUAGUCCCAGCUACUCAGGAGGCUGAGACAGGAAGAUCACUUGAGUCCAGGAGUUCUGGGCUGUAGUGCACUAUGCUGAUCAGGUGUCUGCACUAAGUUCGGCAUCAAUAUGGUGAUCUCCCGGGAGCGGAGGACCACCAGGUUGCCUAAGGAGGAGUGAAGCAGCCCAGGUUGGAAAAGGAACAGGUCAAAACUCCCGUGCUGAUCAGAAAACGUGAAGAAUUUCUUUGUUAAAAUGUAGUUGCAACUCAGUGAAUUCCAGGUCAGCCUAGAGUAUAGCAAAACCCUACCUUA
rnacentral:SRP_RNA from 1 species